rnacentral:rRNA from 1 species
CGGGUAACGGGGAAUCAGGGUUCGAUUCCGGAGAGGGAGCCUGAGAAAUAGCUACCACAUCCAAGGAAGGCAGCAGGCGCGCAAAUUACCCACUCCCGAAACGGGGAGGUAGUGACGAUAAAUAACGAUGCGGGACUCAAUCGAGGCCCCGUAAUUGGAAUGAGUACACUUUAAAUCCUUUAACGAGGAUCAAUUGGAGGGCAAGUCUGGUGCCAGCAGCCGCGGUAAUUCCAGCUCCAAUAGCGUAUAUUAAAGUUGUUGCAGUUAAAAAGCUCGUAGUUGGAUCUCAGGAUUUGGAUGGAUGGUUCGCUUUCGGGCGCUACUAUCUGUCUGACCUACUCUAGUCGUGGAUGCCUUGGGUGCUCUUAAUUGAGUGCUUUUGGUGCCCGACGCAAUUACUUUGAAAAAAUUAGAGUGCUCAAAGCAGGCGUAUUGCCUGAAUAGUGUUGCAUGGAAUAAUGAAAUAGGAGUUUACUUCUAUUUUGUUGGUUUUCGGAGGUGAACUAAUGAUUAACAGGGACAGACGGGGGCAUUUGUAUGGAGGGGUUAGAGGUGAAAUUCUUGGAUCCUCUCCAGACAAACUACUGCGAAAGCAUUUGCCAGGAAUGUUUUCACUAAUCAAGAACGAAAGUCAGAGGUUCGAAGACGAUCAGAUACCGUCCUAGUUCUGACCAUAAAUGAUGCCAUCUAACAAUCCACGAAGUUUGCUUGUACGAACUCGUGGGCGGUCCCCGGGAAACCAAAGAUUUUGGGUUCCGGGGGAAGUAUGGUUGCAAAGCUGAAACUUAAAGGAAUUGACGGAAGGGCACCACCAGGAGUGGAGCCUGCGGCUUAAUUUGACCCAACACGGGAAACCUCACCCGGCCCGGACACUUUUAGGAUUGACAGAUUGAAGGCUCUUUCUUGAUCAAGUGGUUGGUGGUGCAUGGCCGUUCUUAGUUGGUGGAGCGAUUUGUCUGGUUAAUUCCGAUAACGAACGAGACUCUACUCUGCUAAAUAGAACGUUGAUAUAUAAAAGUCAGUGCUGACUUCUUAGAGAGACUAACGGCGUUUAGCCGUGUGAGAAAGAGCAAUAACAGGUCUGUGAUGCCCUUAGAUGUCCGGGGCCGCACGCGCGCUACACUGACUGCAGCAACUAGUAUGCUCCUGGUUUGAAAAAACUGGGUAACCUGGUUGAAUUGCAGGCGUGACAGGGAUCAGAGUUUGCAAUUAUCCUCUGUGAACGAGGAAUUCCCAGUAAGCGCAAGUCAUUAGCUUGUGCUGAUUACGUCCCUGCCCUUUGUACACACCGCCCGUCGCUACUACCGAUUGAAUGGUUUAGUGAGGUCUUCGGAUUGGUGCUGAUGGAGUGGUUCUCUGCUCUGUUAGUGCCGAGAAGAUGAUCAAACUUGAUCAUUUAGAGGAAGUAAAAGUCGUAACAAGGUU